GAUGAACGCUGGCGGCGUGCCUAAUACAUGCAAGUAGAACGCUGAAGGAGGAGCUUGCUCUUCUGGAUGAGUUGCGAACGGGUGAGUAACGCGUAGGUAACCUGCCUGGUAGCGGGGGAUAACUAUUGGAAACGAUAGCUAAUACCGCAUGACAACAGUUAUUGCAUGAUAACUGUUUAAAAGGGGCAACUGCUCCACUACCAGAUGGACCUGCGUUGUAUUAGCUAGUUGGUGAGGUAACGGCUCACCAAGGCGACGAUACAUAGCCGACCUGAGAGGGUGGACGGCCACACUGGGACUGAGACACGGCCCAGACUCCUUAGGGAGGCAGCAGUAGGGAAUCUUCGGCAAUGGACGGAAGUCUGACCGAGCAACGCCGCGUGAGUGAAGAAAGUUUUCGGAUCGGAAAGCUCUGUUGUAAGAGAAGAACGAGUGUGAGAGUGGAAAGUUCACGCUGUGACGGUAUCUUACCAGAAAGGGACGGCUAACUACGUG
rnacentral:rRNA from 1 species